GACGAACGCUGGCGGCGCGCCUAACACAUGCAAGUCGAACGAGCGAGAGAGAGCUUGCUUUCUUGAGCGAGUGGCGAACGGGUGAGUAACGCGUGAGGAACCUGCCUCAAAGAGGGGGACAACAGUUGGAAACGACUGCUAAUACCGCAUAAGCCCACGGUGCCGCAUGGCACAGAGGGAAAAGGAGCAAUCCGCUUUGAGAUGGCCUCGCGUCCGAUUAGCUAGUUGGUGAGGUAACGGCCCACCAAGGCGGCGAUCGGUAGCCGGACUGAGAGGUUGAACGGCCACAUUGGGACUGAGACACGGCCCAGACUCCUACGGGAGGCAGCAGUGGGGAAUAUUGCACAAUGGGGGAAACCCUGAUGCAGCGACGCCGCGUGGAGGAAGAAGGUCUUCGGAUUGUAAACUCCUGUUGUUGGGGAAGAUAAUGACGGUACCCAACAAGGAAGUGACGGCUAACUACGUG
rnacentral:rRNA from 1 species